UAGGGAAUCUUCCACAAUGGGCGAAAGCCUGAUGGAGCAACGCCGCGUGUGUGAUGAAGGGUUUCGGCUCGUAAAACACUGUUGUAAGAGAAGAAUGACAUUGAGAAUAACUGUUCAAUGUGUGACGGUAUCUUACCAGAAAGGAACGGCUAAAUACGUGCCAG
rnacentral:rRNA from 1 species